rnacentral:rRNA from 1 species
CCUACGGGGGGCAGCAGUGGGGAAUAUUGCACAAUGGGCGAAACCCUGAUGCAGCGACGCCGCGUGAAGGAAGAAGUAUUUCUGUAUGGAAACUUCUAUCAGCAGGGAAGAAAAUGACGGUACCUGACUCAGAAGCCCCGGCUAACUACGUGCCAGCACCCGCGGUAAUACGUAGGGGGCAAGCGUUAUCCGGAUUUACUGGGUGUAAAGGGAGCGUAGGCGGCGAUGCAAGUCAGAAGUGAAAGCCCGGGGGUCAACUCCGGGACUGCUUUUGAAACUGUGUUGCUAGAUUGAAGGAGAGGUAAGUGGAAUUCCUAGUGUAGCGGUGAAAUGCGUAGAUAGUAGGAGGAACACCAGUGGCGAAGGCGGCUUACUGGACUGUAAAUGACGCUGAGGCUCGAAAGCGUGGGGAGCAAACAGGAUUAGAUACCCUUGUAGUC